GACGAACGCUGGCGGCGUGCUUAACACAUGCAAGUCGAACGGAAAGGCCUGCUUUCCCUUGUGGAUUGCGGGUACUCGAGUGGCGAACGGGUGAGUAACACGUGAGUGAUCUGCCCCCAACUUGGGUAUAAGCCUGGGAAACUGGGUCUAAUUCCCGAUAGGACUGCAGGGUGGUGCCUGUGGUGGAAAACGAUUUUCUAGUGGUUGGGGAUGAGCUCGCGGCCUAUCAGCUUGUUGGUGGGGUAAUGGCCUACCAAGGCGGCGACGGGUAGCCGGCCUGGGAGGGUGGACGGCCACAUUGGGACUGAGAUACGGCCCAGACGCCUACGGGAGGCAGCAGUGGGGAAUUUUGCACAAUGGGCGGAAGCCUGAUGCAGCGACGCCGCGUGGGGGAUGACGGCCUUCGGGUUGUAAACUCCUUGCGACCGCGAGGAAGCCACCUGGUUGGAAGGGUGGUGACGGUAGUGGUAGAAGAAGCACCGGCUAACUACGUG
rnacentral:rRNA from 1 species